GCUCUAUUGCACAUGAUACUACACUUCUGUUCUCUUCUGGAGAGCUCACCUCCCGCACUUGACACCGUGGGGGCACUGAAGUUAAUAACCGUUUUUGAAGUCUUUCAGAGUUGCAUAAGCUUGUGGACUAGCAUGGAAGACCAUGUUUUACACUAGGCAUGUCGUUUCUAGCAGAUAGCUUCAGCUUUACCUCCAAUGCCAGCUUGCCUGCUGAUCAGAGCAGAAUUCUGAUUCCAAGAAAAGACUUAAAGAGAUAAAGGCCUCCUGUGAAAGGGAAGACAGCUCUCUGACCCAUGUACCACUUUCAGAGUGUGUUCAGACUCCAAUGCUGCCAACAGUCCCAGAGGUAAAAAAGAGGUCAAGAGGAACAGCCUGAGGACAGCAACUGCAGAAAUCCUCCCAGGGCUCCAGGACAACGUGGAAGAGAUGAGUCCAGCCACACAGACAGUGGAUGAAAAGCUUACCUUGAGUCUAUCGUAGCUAGGCUGCCAACUCACUUCCAAAGGUAAAAACACCCAACGAAAACAACUUAAGGAAGGAAGGAAGGAAGGACUGAUUUUGGCUCACAGCUUGAGGGAGCAGUCCAUCAUGGUGAAGAAGCUGUGGAAGGAGAAAUGUGAGGGAGCUGGUCCCAUCUCAUCUGCAAGCAGGAAGCAGGAAGAGGAAUGUCAGAAUUAACACACAAGAGUUACAAAGGUGCCGGUGUGGAUUAUCACUUCUGAAUGAGUGUUGAAGAAUCUCAGAGGACAUGAACCCUGCUCACAAGAGAAAACAGAGGCUCCUCCUUAGGGGGAAGGCUACUUGAUUGAAGGUCUACACCUGGGCAGUUUGCUAAGGAUGGAGAAGAUACUGAGCAGAGUACACACACACCAAGGAAGUCCACUGAACUGUAAACUGAAGCCAGAGGCACAGAAAAUGGAAGCGCGAGUUGGCAGAUAAGAUGGGUCAAAAGUGUGAUUUAACGACUGUCGCUGCAGGAUUCUGAAAAUCAACUCUGAGUCAAUUUUACUAAGAGACAUUAAGUUAGCAACUGAGAUCAUCAGAGACUUUCUUCAGGAGGCAGAAACUCAGCAGGAAAAAAACAAACAAAUAAACAAUCAAGAGCAGGUCAAGAG